UGGUUCUGGCAUCGAUGAAGAACGCAGCGAAAUGCGAUAAGUAGUGUGAAUUGCAGAAUUCAGUGAAUCAUCGAAUCUUUGAACGCACAUUGCGCCCCUUGGUAUUCCAUGGGGCAUGCCUGUUCGAGCGUCAUUUGUACCUUCAAGCUCUGCUUGGUGUUGGGUGUUUGUCUCGCCUCUGCGCGUAGACUCGCCUCAAAACAAUUGGCAGCCGGCGUAUUGAUUUCGGAGCGCAGUACAUCUCGCGCUUUGCAUUCAGAACGACGACAUCCAAAAGUACAUUUUUACACUCUUGACCUCGGAUCAGGUAGGGAUACCCGCUGA
rnacentral:misc_RNA from 1 species